rnacentral:lncRNA from 1 species
GUGGGCUCUGGGUGGGGGAGGCUGGGGUCCCAAACCCGGGUAGCGGAAUGGCGGCCCCGCGUGGCUUGCGGGGAGGGACCCCUCUCAGCAGGGGCCGGAAGAGCAGGCCCACACCCAGUGGUCAUCGCAGGAACUUCACUCGAGCUGGUCUGCUUGUUAGCCUGUGGUUCGGAGAGGAGAAGACGCACUUCCCCAUGAGAAAAAGCAACAUUCUCAGCAAACCAUCUGAUGGCAACUCCUGUGAUCACAAAAGUCAAGUGCUGAUGGAAAUGAAGACCACAACCCCAAUACCUCAGGUGCCGGAUUGA